GAGCGAGAACGGGAGCGGGAGCGGGAGCGAGACAGUCGCCACCACCGGCGCCGCUCCCGCAGCCGCAGCCGCGAGAGGUCGCGCCGGCACCGCAGCCGCUCGCGCAGCCCCGCCCACCGGCACGCGCGCAAGAAGAACAAGAAAAAGGACAAGAACGACUCGGAAUAGCGGCACCCUGCUCCGUGUAUGUGUGUGUGUGUGCGUGUGUGCGUGCGUGUGCGUGUGCGUGUGCGUGUGCGUGUGCGUGCGUGCGUGCGUGCGUGCAUGCGUGCGUGCGUGCGUGCAUGUGUAUGUGUGUGUCGGCCACGCGCACGUCGAUGUCACACAAAUACAUCGGUGGACACUGGUGCACGCGUGAGACGGUCGGCCGUUUGCCCCGCGGGGAUGGUGUUGGUUCAGUGUGACCCCGUGACGCUGCGGUGACCUGUGGAGCCGGGGGAUCGGUGCGGGCGCAGUGACGGCGUGGUAGUCAGCUGUCUGGUUCGCGGCGACGCGGCCCCGUCACGUCACGACGCCACGCCAGUGUGAACCUCCGACGCGGUCAUAACAGCUGACGUCGAUCCCAGCUGCCGUCGCCGUGUUGUCACGGGACGCGCCAGGUUCCUGCAUGUGCUCAUGGCAUGUCACGGCCUCGGAGGCCGCGUGCGCUUGAGAGGACAAGCCCGGCAGGGUGCCGCGCGUAGGUCAACAGCUGUCGACACUGAAAGCUGUUCCAUUGCUGCAUUUGACGACGCUCAUUAAGUUGUUAAGCUGUACCACGUGGCAGGGUGAUCAACCUCAUGUCAGGAUUUGUAAUGAAUUCCUUUCUGCGACUGGUUAUCUUCAUUUGUCUGCCUCCACAUGUGGAGCAAAUGCGCACAGCCUACAGUGAAAAGCUUGAUCCGCAAGAAAAUCGGCUGAGCUGGAUCGUUCGACACGCUGGUGCUAAUGGAAGUACAUGGCUGUAUUUCGUUUACAGGAGGAACAGUUUGAUGAGCCCAUACCUUAUCUGACGUACACCAGCGACCAUGGAGAACAUAAACACUUCAUUGCGUUGCACGCUUGUAGGGAGCAGGCGUGGUGCGCAUUCAUUCGGUAAAAUAAACAUUCAUUGCACUUCA